AGAGUUUGAUCAUGGCUCAGAGCGAACGCUGGCGGCAGGCUUAACACAUGCAAGUCGAGCGGGCACUUUCGGGUGUCAGCGGCGGACGGGUGAGUAACGCGUGGGAACGUGCCCUCUGGUUCGGAAUAACUCAGGGAAACUUGAGCUAAUACCGGAUACGCCCUUUUGGGGAAAGGCUUGCUGCCGGAGGAUCGGCCCGCGUCUGAUUAGCUAGUUGGUGAGGUAACGGCUCACCAAGGCGACGAUCAGUAGCUGGUCUGAGAGGAUGAUCAGCCACACUGGGACUGAGACACGGCCCAGACUCCUACGGGAGGCAGCAGUGGGGAAUAUUGGACAAUGGGCGCAAGCCUGAUCCAGCCAUGCCGCGUGAGUGAUGAAGGCCUUAGGGUUGUAAAGCUCUUUUAUCCGGGACGAUAAUGACGGUACCGGAGGAAUAAGCCCCGGCUAACUUCGUGCCAGCAGCCGCGGUAAUACGAAGGGGGCUAGCGUUGCUCGGAAUCACUGGGCGUAAAGGGCGCGUAGGCGGCGUUUUAAGUCGGGGGUGAAAGCCUGUGGCUCAACCACAGAAUGGCCUUCGAUACUGGGACGCUUGAGUAUGGUAGAGGUUGGUGGAACUGCGAGUGUAGAGGUGAAAUUCGUAGAUAUUCGCAAGAACACCGGUGGCGAAGGCGGCCAACUGGACCAUUACUGACGCUGAGGCGCGAAAGCGUGGGGAGCAAACAGGAUUAGAUACCCUGAUAGUCCACGCCGUAAACGAUGAAUGCCAGCUGUUGGGGUGCUUGCACCUCAGUAGCGCAGCUAACGCUUUGAGCUUCCCGCCUGGGGAGUACGGUCGCAAGAUUAAAACUCAAAGGAAUUGACGG
rnacentral:rRNA from 1 species